rnacentral:misc_RNA from 1 species
UGAGCGGUGUAAAGCAGAGCAUCAAGCUUUUGAAAGCCAGGGUAUCAUUUUUGAUAACAAGAUUUUACAUAUUUCGGACGUUGAAGUACGGGAGACAAAAAUGAUGGGAGACAGUCCCAUUAUCAUUUUGGCGUUCCAGACGCAACAGGUUUACUGCAUACGUGAUAAACUUGGUUCAAUUAAAGAAGGGGGACAGGAUACAAUACACACUGUAUACUAUGCUUGGGCUAUGCAACUAGUAGAAGCAGAAGAACUCGGAGAAGGAGCGAUCCACCCUAUAUGGAGGCUUAAAGAGAUGCAGCAACUUGGUGUUGCUGCCCUCAUUUAAAUUUGUUGCUGCCUGCGCCUUGUUCAUGUUCUUGCACUUAAUUUGUGCAGAAAAAUUUUUGCAAUAAAUUUUUGCCCUUUCCACCGUUGGAACGGAGGCAUCAUCAUGUAUUCAAAUUAAUGAAGGAGAUAGGAUAUUUUUUCACUAUACCAGCAAAAAUAGAAUAUUCAUCAUAGUUACAAUUUUAAGAUGUAUGGACUGACUGUAUAAAGGCUUACUACGCUAUAGUUUAACUUCAUAUAGCG